rnacentral:lncRNA from 1 species
GUCCCUACUUUAGUGCGCCAACUAGUUGAGGUGAUUCUGCUGUGAAGCGUCCAUUCAAUCCAGAAGGGACGAGCAGUGCAAAGUGUGGAAAUUAAUUAAAUUCUAGACAACAAAGGAACGAGAUGGGUCACUGCGGAUAAGAGGCGGUGCAGAUGACAAGUACAGGUGAAAGGCUUUAUAAAGUGAGCAGUACGAGUAAUGUGUGUCAAACGUGGUCCUUCACGCACAGUGGCACUUCACGACAAUUCCACAUAUUCCGAUCCCCCCGCACGAAAUAAUAGAUAUCGCAGAGCAUUAUUCUGGUAGUUUGUUUGUCAGUUUGUC